rnacentral:rRNA from 1 species
AGCUUGCUAAUAAUUCUCUAGUGGCGCACGGGUGAGUAACACGUGAGUAACCUGCCCCCAAGAGUGGGAUAGCCCCGGGAAACUGGGAUUAAUACCGCAUAAAAUCGCAAGAUUAAAGCAGCAAUGCGCUUGGGGAUGGGCUCGCGUCCUAUUAGUUAGUUGGUGAGGUAACGGCUCACCAAGGCGAUGACGGGUAGCCGGUCUGAGAGGAUGUCCGGCCACACUGGAACUGAGACACGGUCCAGACACCUACGGGUGGCAGCAGUCGAGAAUCAUUCACAAUGGGGGAAACCCUGAUGGUGCGACGCCGCGUGGGGGAAUGAAGGUCUUCGGAUUGUAAACCCCUGUCAUGUGGGAGCAAAUUAAAAAGAUAGUACCACAAGAGGAAGAGACGGCUAACUCUGUGCCAGCAGCCGCGGUAAUACAGAGGUCUCAAGCGUUGUUCGGAAUCACUGGGCGUAAAGCGUGCGUAGGCGGUUUCGUAAGUCGUGUGUGAAAGGCGGGGGCUCAACCCCCGGACUGCACAUGAUACUGCGAGACUAGAGUAAUGGAGGGGGAACCGGAAUUCUCGGUGUAGCAGUGAAAUGCGUAGAUAUCGAGAGGAACACUCGUGGCGAAGGCGGGUUCCUGGACAUUAACUGACGCUGAGGCACGAAGGCCAGGGGAGCGAAAGGGAUUAGAUACCCCUGUAGUCCUGGCAGUAAAC